rnacentral:lncRNA from 1 species
UAGUACACAAAUGUUCAUAGCAGCUUUAUUUGGAAUAACCCAAAAUUACAAAUCCAGACGCCUAUCAACAGAUGAUUGGAUAAACAAAUUGUGGUAAAUUCAUACAAAGGAAUACCAUUCAGUAAUUUUAAAAAAACAAAUACAACCCGCUGAUACAAGCCACAAGGAUGAAUCGCAAAAUUAUGCUGAGUCAAAGAAGCCCCCCAAAAAAGAACAUACGGUAUGAUUCCAUUUAUUUAAAAUUCAAGAAAAUGCAAACUAAUCUAUAUUGACAGAAAGUGGUUGCCUGGGGAUGGAGUUGGAGGGAGAGAUGGAUUACAAAAGGGCACAAGAGAACUUUUGGCGGUGAUGUGAUUGUUAUCUCGAUUGUGGUGACGGUUUAAUGGGUGCUGAGGUGUAACGUGUCCCCCUAAAAUUGUGUUUUGAAAUCUUAAUCCCCAAAGAGGAUGGUAUUAGGAGGUGGGGCCUUUGGGAGGUGCUUAAAUUAUGAGGGUGGAACCCUGAUGAAUGAGAUUAGUGCUCUUAUGAAAGAGACUCUAAACAGCUCCUUGCCCCUUCAACCACGUGACUACAUAGCUAGAAGGCAUCAGCUAUGAAACCGAAAAGAGGGUCGUCCCUUGUUCUUGGACUCUCCAGCCUCCAGAACUGUGAAAGUUAAAUUUCUGUUGUUAAUAAGAUACCCAGUCUAUGGUAUUUUGUUACAGAAGCCCAAAGAGACUAAGACAAUGGGUGUACACAUGUCAAAACUGAUGAUAUUUUCCAUCUUUAUCUAUGUGCAGUGUUCCUAAAUUAAACAUGAAUAAAAUUUUUAAUGGAGAUAAUGAUAAUCCCUUUAGGCUGUUAUAGGGAUUCAUUGGAUAUUUUAAGCUUUUUAUCAUAAUGCCUGGUUUGACACUUACUUUGAUAUCCAACUUCAACUUCUCCACUGAGCUCUUCACUCUGAGUUUAGAGGUAAAUGAAUGCCUAAGACUACAUAGAUCAUAUAUGCCAAGGAACUUUGAAAAGACUGUAGGACUUGGCAAUUAGAGUGUCACUGGAUAAAUUCAAUAAACUUAUUAUCAAGGGAAAAAAUACACAUAAAGGAAGAACCAGAUUCAAAAACAUUUUUUGAGGCCGGCCCGGUGGCGCAGCAGUUAAGUUCACAUGUUCUGCUUCAGCGGCCUGGGGUUCGCCGGUUCGGAUCCCGGGUGCAGACACGGCACCGCUUGGCAAGCCAUGCUGUGGUAGGCAUCCCACAUAAAAAGUAGAGGAAGAUGGGCACGGAUGUUAGCUCAGAGCCAGUCUUCCUCAGCAAAAAGAGGAGGACAGGCAGCAGAUGUUAGCUCAGGGCUGAUCUUCCUCAAGAAAAAAAAAAAAAUUUUUUUCGUUGUAUUUUUAACUUGCUGGUUCAUUAGAGGUUGGGAUCAUUCUUUUUCCUUGGGAAGUAAGCUGGUAUAAACUAAUGCAUAGAAAAACAAGAUCUACUAAAAAGGGAAGUGAAAACCACUUCUCUCAAAGCUUUAGUUAUCCAAUGUAAAAUAAAGGAACUAGACAGGAUGAUCACCUAUGUAUUGUCCAGCUCUGAACGUUAAUUACUUCAACCAUUCAUUUAAUUAUCGUUUCUCCUCCCUCGAAUGCUGUCAUAUCGCUAUCUCCUGUCUUACCUCCUACUUCUCUGCUUGUCUUCUCUCUCCUGCGGGUUCAUCUUCAUCCAGAUGUGGAUUUUCCCCAAGGUUUGUGUCUUAUCCUUUUCCCCUCCUCUGUGUAUAAGCCGCUGAAAUUAAGAUCUCCAUCUUCAAAUCUCCUGCCCAAAUAGUUUCUAGGAAAGAGAAAGUGAUAAAAAGCGCCACAAUGAGAAACCAAAUAGGACGGGAGAAUGAAAAAGGUCACUGGAUUUUGGUGAUCAGGGUGUCACUGAGUGAGCCAUCCAAGGUUGAGCAGGGGAGUGCUGCAAUUUUGGAACGAUGACUCUGUUAAGAAUGAAUUGGAGCCAGAGAAUAUUAGAAAUUUUAGGAUCUUAAAGUGACUUUGGGGUCAUCGAUGUGAUUACGUAACCCUUGGAUUUAAAUGCCAUUAAACUCCUAAUGUUUGAUCUUGGCAUUCCAGGCACUUCAGCGGCCCAAUUCCUAUCCAGCCAUCAUUCCUCCGUAAGCAUCUUUCCUGGCUUCAACUAGACCGUUUAUCCUCUAAUAAGUCUGAUCUUCCCUGCUUUCAUAUAUGCUCAGGCUGUUCUCUGCUGAUAAAACUGCCCAGCCUGAUAACACCUGGAGGAACUUAAGUGCCUUCUGUAGUCUUAACUCCCAAACGCCAUGAAACUUCUCUUGGUUUACAGUAGGUAUUGAGAGAUGAGACUGAUUCGGACUCAUUUUUACAUCUCUUCCCCAACUCCUCCCACCCCCUCGCCCCCUAUUCGGUGCCUCGCCAAACGUUGACCGCACAGAACGUAUCCGCAGUGUUAGAACUCAAAUAUGGAGGAAAGAAAAGGCAUCUAAUAAAUGCCUUGAGCAUUCUACUAGGCGUUACAGGUAUGGUAGCUUUUUUAAUGCGCAGCAAGAUGUUAUCUCGAUCUUACAGUUGAACAAAUUUAACAAUAAGACCUCUGGUCGGACGCUACAGCCUGGCGGAGGACGUAAAGACCUUUCAUAGCAAUCACAAGGAGGAGUUAAGUCCUAACCAUCAGGCCUUCCAGAAAAUCUUACAAUUGGGAACUCAGGAGACUCGGCUACUCCGCAGGAGGCAGAGUCACGAAUUUGCAAGCACAGAGCCAUGCGAACCCUUUCCUGCCCAGCUUUCGAGAGAAACCAGGCCCCCAGUGGAAAUACUAACAUACGAAUUCGACCUACAACCCCCUCCCUUGGCCCCCAAAUUCCCAGUGGAAAUCAAACAGUCGGGCACCGGAGGCCACCGCAGCGAGCAGCGAACGCGCGGAACUAGGAAGAGG